GGUGCAAAUCAAGCAUAAAAAAUAGCUGUGAUUGCUGCGUAUGCACUGCUGAACAUUUGCUUGGCAGAGCAAAGUAACAUCGAAUGAGGACCGAGCAUCAGCAGAGAGCCAUCUGUUUUACCUCCAGUCCUGCCAUGACUGUAAACACACUGUUGUGAUGUAGAUCAUGAAGAAAUAAACAGCAGCAUUAGUUUUUUUUUAGAGCAAAAACCUUUGCAGCAAAAAAUAAACAUCGACCCCUCAGCUCUGCAGCCAGAGGAGCAUCAUUUCCCCACCCCAGAGACCAGGGUGCAAAUAAGCUUUGUUUACUGUUUUACACCAAUACAUGAACACAAUUAUCACCACUAUGAUGGAAGAGAGGUGUCUCGGAGCUGAAACCAAUUUUAACUUUAAGUGUCAUCUUCAAAACAGAGCCAUUCUCUCAUUUUGAAAGCCUUCUGCGGGCCAUUAGUAUGCACAAUGAGGUGCACUUCAUCUGCACGCACAGGGAGCAAAUUAAUUUCAAGCACUGGAACUGUAGUGGUUUUGUGUAAUGGUAGACAAUGAAGGCUGGUGUUGUUUAUCAGCUGUUGGCUGCAUGGUCAGCGAGGCAGAGUAAGGCUGUGUAAACAUCACUAAAUUUCUUAUUUAUGUAUUAGUCCAUCCAUCUACUUUACUCUGGCAGUGUUAUCACUUUGCCAAUAGCUAUCACUAUCCUUUAUCAUCUCAUCCAUUUCAAACAUGGCAUGGCGGUGACAUUCACAGAGAAUCUAUAUGCUGGAAACAUGUUUGAAAGGAACCUCAGAAAUGACAGCUUAAUGUCCUCGGUGACAGCUAAUUUGGUUGUGUGGGAGGAAGAGGGAGCUGCCAGAGUGUUUAUUUCCCUGAGAAAAAUCAACAUAUCUGAUCUUGGGUGGGAGUGAGAGUCGUUUUCCUGGUUGAAUUUUUCCUCCUUGAGGAGAGUAACAGCUGCUAAGAGCUGCACAAGAUCACAUGCGGCCUAUGUUUGCAGGAUGCCAUUCCAAAUUGAGAUUAGUCACGGAGGUCAUGCUGCUACUAAAUGCAUACAUUUGACAGCGUCUUGCUGGCAACUUAAUGAACCAAGCAGCAGCCUUGGAUGAAUAUGCCAGAAACAAAGGUGCAGUGAGAAACACAGAGGAACACAGAGCUGGAACCAUUAUGCUGGUGGCCUCGAGAAUACCGUCUUUUCUAUGAUUUCCUGUGCUGGUGUUUGCAGCCACAUUUGCAUGCAAACAGACAGCAACAUGAAUGUUUCUCUUUGUCCUUCAGCAGGGCAGUUGUUACAGAAAAUACAUUGGUUUUAAUGUCAUAAUAUCCUGGAUAGAUUGAACAUGCCUGAGCAGGUUAAAGCUCCUGUGAGGAGUUUUCACACUCACAUCAAUAUAAAUGUUUCUUCAAAGCCUGUGAAGGCAAAGAAAGAUCAACAGCAAGAAAAGCAACCCUUUUUCAAAGAAAUGACAAACACUGGCAAGAGGUUAAUGUCAGGCAAUGUGACAAGCUGCACACUGGAGAUACAGCCUUGUGUUAGAUGUUCCUGGGAAAGAAUGGUUAAUGUUAUUAAACUGACAAAAAAAAAAACCCUGAAAGUUCCUCACAAGAGCUUUAAAAUGGGAGUGGGCCAAAUUUGUGCACCAUCACAUUUGUGUCUCAUCAUCAUUUUCCUGUUAAAAGCAAAGAAAUUCUGCUAAAUAUAUUUUCUUAAAUCAGUGUGUUUUCUUUAAAGUUUGAUUUCCUUUGUUAGAAAAAAGUAAAAACCUUAUUAUGACGUAUAAUUACGACUCCCAUUUUGUAGGCCUUUUUAUGGUGGAUGUAAGUAUGUAAUAAGCACUGCAUUUAGCUGCCAGGCGCCACCUGAGGAUUUAAAUGUUAGUGGGUAUUUAUAUUUCUUUUUACAGCCCUGAGUGGGAAAGGGGCAUUAGGGGUUCAAUCGUUCUAUAGUUGAACUGCAGCAUUUAUAUAAUUGUUAACACCAGGAUACAAGCAAACUUUGCAAACACGUUAGAGAGGACAUUCAGCACAAUAUUUCAAGGUUUCAAUUACUGAAAUACCAUCAUCGUAAUAUCACUCCCUGCGCCCAGAGGUAAUAAAAAAAUCCAAGCAGUCACAUUAUUGUACUUGUUUAAAUCAUGUCGAGUCCCUCGACAGUCUGAGAGGCUGUCAUAUUUAUCAACACCUUACACAAAGCCCGGUGCUUCUGACGCCUCAGGUGUGAGUGUGCACUUAUAAAAGAGAGAAAACGCAGAGGGGAUGCUCUGAAAGACGAAACAACAGGAAGUGGACAUUGAAGUGGAGAAAACCCUCAUCCUUCAAAAGACUGAUGUUUGUUUUUAAUUCACAGCGUGUUCUGUCCUGUCUGUGAAAACCAACCCUAAGGAUGUGAUUGAUGAGCUCCUCUGCACAUUCAUGUAAAAAACUGGUGAAACAACUUCAUAUAAUGUAUAUAAUUAGCUGCUUGCUGUGACAAAACCCACAAAAAAAUGAUCAUCUGUCUCACUGUUUGCCCCUCUUCAUCUGAAAGCUUUAAGCCCCCCCCCCCCUCCGCCAAUCAGCAUCCUCUUCAGUCUACUCGAUCGACUGAGUAUCAAAUGUCAGAGAAACAUGGUGGCUAUAGACAGUGACUGGUAAACAUAGUAAAGCAUUAAGAUGCUAACAAAAUCCAAAUAAUAAUUGAGUUCAGUUUUUGAUUGAUGGGUGAAUUAAAAAUAACAUAUCAAAGGAAAUCAAUAUUAUUAUAUAUUUGAUCUUGCUUCAUUUUUUUCCUCUUCUCCCAAACAUCUCUGAUCAUGCAACCCUCAAUGUCUGUGCUGUGAACAUGAUAGUGACAAAUACAACAGCCCAUUAAGUGCAUUUUACAUGCACAGUUAAAGGGAUAUUCCGUUGUAAAAUUGAGUUAUGGUCAAACACACUAUAACACCAAGUUAGACACCAAGUUAGGGGAGAUGAAUGUUGCCGGCUGCUUGCUUCGCUAGUUAUACCAACUUCAGGAACAUCCGCAUGAUAGCAAUACACAGCGGUUUAUGGAUCCACGCACACACCUCAAGCAAAACGCCACUCUAUAGCCACAAAUAAUGCUCAGAACAGCACCUUACUUCAUCAACAGUACAUAUAGGGUCCCAGACAUAGUCCUGGCCACCAAACAUCUUUUUUAGCUUUGCCUGAUGUCUUUAGCAAAGAGACUAAACACAACUCACCCACUCUCCUCCAGCAGCUGCUUGUUUGUAGUGAGACCUCAGGCUAGUCCUUCAUUGACUGCAGUGGAGUUUCGCAGCUCAAGAAAGAAUAUUUAUGAUCAUUGUUUCAUGGAAAUGCAAUCAGACAGAGAUGCUAAGGCAGAAGAAUUAUUGUGUCUGCAGUGCAAAAUUAUUAUUAUGAUGGUUAUUACUUAAUGGAAAUGAUAAAGUAAUGAUCAUAAAUGUUCUUCCUUGAGCUGCACUCGGUGAUGGACUCGUCUGAGCUCUCUCCUUUAGUACACACAGCUUCUUUCCGUUCUACUUUGUCUUUGUCUUCUUCUUCAUCUGUCUAUAGGUGUCUCUCAACAAUGCAUUUAUGCUAUUCAACCUCAGGGUCCCACAGCCCUUUGCGCAAACUACAGAGCAUGUGCAGAAUUCUUUGGGUAGUUUCAUUCCUAAUAAGAUGAUGUGCUGUUUCACUCAUAGUACUUGAAAACAAAUCUUUCACAGUCUCCUCUCUUUCCAAAUAGCUUUAAUUUCACAAUUACUGACCAAAACUGAUGAAAGUAAAAGAUGACACCUCUGUUUCUGCACUGGUCUGAACCUCUUCACCUCCAGAUGGAAAAAGGCUGAGGACACUGUGAAGGUGAUGAGAGCACAGUGUGUCUGAUUCACCCUGCCUUUGUCUCUCUCUCAGCAGAUGCUGAGCUGGAUGAGUGCCUUUAGAUUGGCUACUAUCUUCUCAUCAGUGCUCUGUCCUUUGCUAUCAACAACUGCCUCUCAAGCAGUGAAUGUAUUGAUUACAGGUGCCACUGAUUUCCAAAUGGCCAAAACCAUAGCAUCUCUGCGACUGAAAUCAAGACAAUAAGUCGGAGCACACUGCUAUUCUAACAAAUAUAAGAACAGGAACAUAUAGAUAUCCAGACAUCAGUGAGGGAGUGAGUGACACCUUCAGCAGCUGCCUUUGACUUCUAGCAGAGAAGUGUUAAAAUCACAUCAAUGCUGCAGGGCUUGUUAUAUACAGAAUACUAAUUGGCAGGAAGUAAGGUAACAAAUUUAAUAAAUGUCAACAUAUGUGUCAGAUGCAGACAUGCACACACACACACAGACGCACACCAAUUAGUGACGGUGUACUUCCUGAUGGAUGGCUAACACCAGGGGAUCAUGGUGUUCUCCCAACUUGUAACUGAAGCCACAGGUACUCUCUUUAAAUAUCCGAGCUGUGCAGAGGAGCCUCGUCCUUAACCCUCAUCAAACCUGAUUACACCAGGUGGCCUCAUUACUUAGCCUCUCAGUGUCGAUGAGGAUUUACAUUAUCUUUGAUUUCCUGAAGCGUAAUUAACAGACAUGUGUGUGUUUUUUUUCCUUCUUCUUCUUCUUCUUCUUCUCACUCUGGGUGAAAAUUAACUUUCGACUAGCUGCUUUGAUAGGGGUGUCUUAUCCAUCAGUCAAAGCCAAUGUGAAGCUCAGGACCACGCUUUUUUUCCAAGAACUGACUGUCAGAAAUUCCUUCGAGUCCUUUCAGAGCACACACACGUCAUAUCUGACUCAGGGAAGCAGCCAAGACAUUAAUUUCAAACAUUACAGGGUUUUUUUUUCUCCGAAAUGUGAAAAGUGAGGCUGUCACAUCUUGUGAUUGUAGGAAAAGCUGAAUUAUUCAAAUCAGGGCAAUUUAAACUGUGAUGGUUUCUCACAACACCUACACCCAGAUCAUCAGCAAUCAAACUGUUACCUGUUUUUAUAUUACGGCACUGUAUCUCCAGUUCUUGGGUCCAUCAUGAUUGAAUAUGACGAAUAAUGGAAACUCAUUCAUCCACCUAUGUGGAGGAAAAUUAUGUCUAAGUGUGAUGCAGAUUGUUAAAAUGCUCAGUGUGGGUGUCAGUGAUCUGUCACUUUGUACUGCUUUGAUUUAAACUGACUGUAGCUGCUGUUAAAUUGGGGUACCCUUUAAAAUGCUAUUUCAAAGGCUUAGAUAUAAAUCUACAUAGACUUACCAGCUAUAAUAUUAUGAAAACCUCGGCAAUCUAAUGCAAUUCAAGACAACAGCUACACCACAAAUUUCUCUUUAUAUUAAAUUGCUCAGCCAAUAUUUAUUUAAACAGCACAAAUUCACAAUAAAUGUUAUCACAAGAGACUAGCUUGUAAGGAGACCCACUCUUAUCUCUUCUUCAUCCCCCACCGAUGAAACACUGCAGCAUUUAGUAAGUUACAAAGGAGAAGAAAAACUUAGGGGAGACCGGGGCUUGUUGUCACACUUUUUACACUCUUAUAUAAUUCUAGUAAUCAAUACAUCAUAUAUAAACAAAAAGUGAACCAGAUUAAAGACCAAAGUCUCAGGUAUAUAUUUCAUAAUCAUGUCAUUUUCAUAUCUUGUGUCAGUGCAGAGUUAUAAGCAAUCAAAUAGAGAGUGUGAACAUGUGACAUCUUACCCCACCAUCAGGUAAGACGUCACAGUAGAUUUUGCUGCUAUUGAAACAAGGACAAAAUUAUUAUGGUUCUCAUUUUUUAAACUUGAAAGUGAACAUCAAAGUCAGGCACAGAAAAUGUUUAUCAUUGAGCUAGAAAAAGCCAUUGAACAUAGCCACUAAACAAACGUGAACAUAAACUAUUAUGUUUGGAGAGUUGUCUGACUCUGUAUUUCAGCUGGGGUGAAUGUUUAUCAGUAUCGAGCUAAGGUAUGGUAGAUGACAUUAAAGUCCUUUAUUGUACUCCAGGUUGAUUUAUUAGCUAGGGUCACCUGCCUGACUGCCCUCAGCAUCACGUCAGGAACUGUACUGCCAUGUUCUGUUUUUCUUUUGAGAUUCCUGACCAAGUCUUCUCACUUUCUCCUCUCCUUUAAAUCACUCUUUUUCUGUAAAAAUAAAGUCAAAAUUUCAAUAUGACAACUGCUGAUAAGCAGACUUUCUAUGUUAAUAUGAAUCCCUUUGAAACACGUGACAACUAACCCCAAAAAGACUGAGACAUGUUGCCCCAAACUACUAUGUUUGCUAAUUUUAGCUUUAGCUUAAAGUUAGUCUAAAACAGAACAAUGACUGAGGUAUGACAGGAUGUCUUAAUCUCUCCUCUAACAAGUCCACAUGUAUCCCUGCUAGCAUUUUUAUCUGGAAGAAGCUUAUUUUAAAAUAUGUACGGUUAAAAUUUUUUACUUUGAGUUGUGCGAAAUGGUUAACUGGUUCAUCUCAGCUCACAAUGUGCUCUUUUCUUCUCAGACAGGACACGGCCCCUGACCAUUUAAGGUUGGAGCUAGGGUUAGGGUUAGGUGUGGGGUUGGAGCUAGGGUUAGGGUUAGGGUUAGGGUUGGAGUUAGGGUUAGUGUUGGAGCUAGGGUUAGGGUUGGGCUUGGAGCUAGGAUUUUUCUGAGUGCAAUGAACCAACUCCCGAGUCUCUAGGACGUUCCUAAAAAAAUUUGAUUUUUUUCCCAUAGGAAUGCAUGGGUUAGGGUUAGGGUUAGGGUUGGAGCUAGGGUUAGGGUUAGGGUUAGGGUUGGAGUUAGGGUUAGUGUUGGAGCUAGGGUUAGGGUUGGGCUUGGAGCUAGGAUUUUUCUGAGUGCAAUGAACCAACUCCUGAGUCUCUAGGACGUUCCUAAAAAAAAUUGAUUUUUUCCCAUAGGAAUGCAUGGGUUAGGGUUAGGGUUAGGGUUAGGGUUGGAGCUAGGGUUAGGGUUGGCGUUAGGGUUGGAGUUAGGGUUAGAGUUGGAGCUAGGGUUAGGGUUGGGCUUGGAGCUAGGAUUUUUCUGAGUGCAAUGAACCAACUCCCGAGUCUCUAGGACGUUCCUAAAAAAAAUGGAUUUUUUCCCAUGGGAAUGCAUGGGUUAGGGUUAGGGUUAGGGUUGGAGCUAGGGUUAGGGUUAGGGUUAGGGUUGGAGUUAGGGUUAGUGUUGGAGCUAGGGUUAGGGUUGGGCUUGGAGCUAGCAUUUUUCUGAGUGCAAUGAACCAACUCCCGAGUCUCUAGGACGUUCCUAAAAAAAUUUGAUUUUUUCCCAUAGGAAUGCAUGGGUUAGGGUUAGGGUUAGGGUUGGAGCUAGGGUUAGGGUUAGGGUUAGGGUUGGAGUUAGGGUUAGUGUUGGAGCUAGGGUUAGGGUUGGGCUUGGAGCUAGGAUUUUUCUGAGUGCAAUGAACCAACUCCCGAGUCUCUAGGACGUUCCUAAAAAAAAUUGAUUUUUUCCCAUAGGAAUGCAUGGGUUAGGGUUAGGGUUAGGGUUGGAGCUAGGGUUAGGGUUAGGGUUAGGGUUGGAGUUGGGUUAGUGUUGGAGCUAGGGUUAGGGUUGGGCUUGGAGCUAGGAUUUUUCUGAGUGCAAUGAACCACCUCCUGAGUCUCUAGGACGUUCCUAAAAAAAUUUGAUUUUUUCCCAUAGGAAUGCAUGGGUUAGGGUUAGGAUUAGGGUUGGAGCUAGGGUUAGGGUUAGGGUUAGGGUUGGAGUUAGGGUUAGGGUUAAGGUUGGAGCUAGGGUUAGGGUUAGGGUUAGGAUUAGGGUGGAGCUAGGGUUAGGGUUAGAGCUAGGGUUAGGGUUGGGGCUAGGGUUAGGGUUAAGGUUGGAGCUAGGGUUAGGGUUAGGGUUAGGGUUGGAGCUAGGGUUAGGGUUAGGGUUAGGGUUGGAGCUAGGGUUAGGGUUAGGGUUAGGGUUGGAGUUAGGGUUAGGGUUAGGGUUAAGGUUGGAGCUAGGGUUAGGGUUAGGGUUAGGAUUAGGGUGGAGCUAGGGUUAGGGUUAGAGCUAGGGUUAGGGUUGGGGCUAGGGUUAGGGUUAGGGUUAAGGUUGGAGCUAGGGUUAGGGUUAGGGUUAGGUGUGGAGCUAGGGUUAGGGUUAGGGUUGGAGCUAGAGUUAGGGUUAGGGUUAGGGUUGGAGUUAGGGUUAGUGUUGGAGCUAGGGUUAGGGUUGGGCUUGGAGCUAGGAUUUUUCUGAGUGCAAUGAACCAACUCACCGAGUCUCUAGGACGUUCCUAAAAAAAUUUGAUUUUUUCCCAUAGGAAUGCAUGGGUUAGGGUUAGGGUUAGGGUUGGAGCUAGGGUUAGGGUUAGGGUUAGGGUUGGAGUUAGGGUUAGUGUUGGAGCUAGGGUUAGGGUUGGGCUUGGAGCUAGGAUUUUUCUGAGUGCAAUGAACCAACUCCCGAGUCUCUAGGACGUUCCUAAAAAAAUUUGAUUUUUUCCCAUAGGAAUGCAUGGGUUAGGGUUAGGGUUAGGGUUAGGGUUGGAGCUAGGGUUAGGGUUAGGGUUAGGGUUGGAGUUAGGGUUAGUGUUGGAGCUAGGGUUAGGGUUGGGCUUGGAGCUAGGAUUUUUCUGAGUGCAAUGAACCAACUCCCGAGUCUCUAGGACGUUCCUAAAAAAAUUUGAUUUUUUCCCAUAGGAAUGCAUGGGUUAGGGUUAGGGUUAGGGUUGGAGCUAGGGUUAGGGUUAGGGUUAGAGUUAGGGUUAGUGUUGGAGCUAGGGUUAGGGUUGGGCUUGGAGCUAGGAUUUUUCUGAGUGCAAUGAACCAACUCCCGAGUCUCUAGGACGUUCCUAAAAAAUGUGAUUUUUUCCCAUAGGAAUGCAUGGGUUAGGGUUAGGGUUAGGGUUGGAGCUAGGGUUAGGGUUAGGGUUAGGGUUGGAGUUAGGGUUAGUGUUGGAGCUAGGGUUAGGGUUGGGCUUGGAGCUAGGAUUUUUCUGAUUGCAAUGAACCAACUCCCGAGUCUCUAGGACGUUCCUAAAAAAAUUUGAUUUUUUCCCAUAGGAAUGCAUGGGUUAGGGUUAGGGUUAGGGUUGGAGCUAGGGUUAGGGUUAGGGUUAGGGUUGGAGUUAGGGUUAGUGUUGGAGCUAGGGUUAGGGUUGGGCUUGGAGCUAGGAUUUUUCUGAGUGCAAUGAACCAACUCCCAAGUCUCUAGGACGUUCCUAAAAAAUGUGAUUUUUUCCCAUAGGAAUGCAUGGGUUAGGGUUAGGGUUAGGGUUGGAGCUAGGGUUAGGGUUAGGGUUAGGGUUGGAGUUAGGGUUAGUGUUGGAGCUAGGGUUAGGGUUGGGCUUGGAGCUAGGAUUUUUCUGAGUGCAAUGAACCAACUCCCGAGUCUCUAGGACAUUCCUAAAAAAAUUUGAUUUUUUCCCAUAGGAAUGCAUGGGUUAGGGUUAGGGUUAGGGUUGGAGCUAGGGUUAGGGUUAGGGUUGGAGUUAGGGUUAGUGUUGGAGCUAGGGUUAGGGUUGGGCUUGGAGCUAGGAUUUUUCUGAGUGCAAUGAACCAAUUCCCGAGUCUCUAGGACGUUCCUAAAAAAAUUGAUUUUUUCCCAUAGGAAUGCAUGGGUUAGGGUUAGGGUUAGGGUUGGAGCUAGGGUUAGGGUUAGGGUUAGAGUUAGGGUUAGUGUUGGAGCUAGGGUUAGGGUUGGGCUUGGAGCUAGGAUUUUUCUGAGUGCAAUGAACCAACUCCCGAGUCUCUAGGACGUUCCUAAAAAAUGUGAUUUUUUCCCAUAGGAAUGCAUGGGUUAGGGUUAGGGUUAGGGUUGGAGCUAGGGUUAGGGUUAGGGUUAGGGUUGGCGUUAGGGUUAGUGUUGGAGCUAGGGUUAGGGUUGGGCUUGGAGCUAGGAUUUUUCUGAUUGCAAUGAACCAACUCCCGAGUCUCUAGGACGUUCCUAAAAAAAUUUGAUUUUUUCCCAUAGGAAUGCAUGGGUUAGGGUUAGGGUUAGGGUUGGAGCUAGGGUUAGGGUUAGGGUUAGGGUUGGCGUUAGGGUUAGUGUUGGAGCUAGGGUUAGGGUUGGGCUUGGAGCUAGGAUUUUUCUGAGUGCAAUGAACCAACUCCCAAGUCUCUAGGACGUUCCUAAAAAAAUUUGAUUUUUUCCCAUGGGAAUGCAUGGGUUAGGGUUAGGGUUAGGGUUGGAGCUAGGGUUAGGGUUAGGGUUGGAGUUAGGGUUAGUGUUGGAGCUAGGGUUAGGGUUGGGCUUGGAGCUAGGAUUUUUCUGAGUGCAAUGAACCAACUCCCGAGUCUCUAGGACAUUCCUAAAAAAAUUGAUUUUUUUCCAUAGGAAUGCAUGGGUUUGGGUUAGGGUUAGGGUUGGAGCUAGGGUUAGGGUUAGGGUUAGGGUUGGAGUUAGGGUUAGUGUUGGAGCUAGGGUUAGGGUUGGGCUUGGAGCUAGGAUUUUUCUGAGUGCAAUGAACCAACUCCGAGUCUCUAGGACGUUCCUAAAAAAAUUUGAUUUUUUCCCAUAGGAAUGCAUGGGUUAGGGUUAGGGUUAGGGUUGGAGCUAGGGUUAGGGUUAGGGUUAGGGUUGGAGUUAGGGUUAGUGUUGGAGCUAGGGUUAGGGUUGGGCUUGGAGCUAGGAUUUUUCUGAGUGCAAUGAACCAACUCCUGAGUCUCUAGGACGUUUCUAAAAAAAUUUGAUUUUUUCCCAUAGGAAUGCAUGGGUUAGGGUUAGGGUUAGGGUUGGAGCUAGGGUUAGGGUUAGGGUUAGGGUUGGAGUUAGGGUUAGUGUUGGAGCUAGGGUUAGGGUUGGACUUGGAGCUGGAGGAUUUUUCUGAGUGCAAUGAACCAACUCCCGAGUCUCUAGGACGUUCCUAAAAAAAUUUGAUUUUUUCCCAUAGGAAUGCAUGGGUUAGGGUUAGGGUUAGGGUUGGAGCUAGGGUUAGGGUUAGGGUUAGGGUUGGAGUUAGGGGUAGUGUUGGAGCUAGGGUUAGGGUUGGGCUUGGAGCUAGGAUUUUUCUGAGUGCAAUGAACCAACUCCCGAGUCUCUAGGACGUUCCUAAAAAAAUUUGAUUUUUUCCCAUAGGAAUGCAUGGGUUAGGGUUAGGGUUAGGGUUGGAGUUAGGGUUAGUGUUGGAGCUAGGGUUAGGGUUGGGCUUGGAGCUAGGAUUUUUCUGAGUGCAAUGAACCAACUCCCGAGUCUCUAGGACGUUCCUAAAAAAAUUUGUUUUUUUCCCAUAGGAAUGCAUGGGUUAGGGUUAGGGUUAGGGUUAGGGUUGGAGCUAGGGUUAGGGUUAGGGUUAGGGUUGGAGUUAGGGUUAGUGUUGGAGCUAGGGUUAGGGUUGGGCUUGGAGCUAGGAUUUUUCUGAGUGCAAUGAACCAACUCCUGAGUCUCUAGGACGUUCCUAAAAAAAUUUGAUUUUUUCCCGUAGGAAUGCAUGGGUUAGGGUUAGGGUUAGGGUUGGAGCUAGGGUUAGGGUUAGGGUUAGGGUUGGAGUUAGGGUUAGUGUUGGAGCUAGGGUUAGGGUUGGGCUUGGAGCUAGGAUUUUUCUGAGUGCAAUGAACCAACUCCCGAGUCUCUAGGACGUUCCUAAAAAAAAUUGAUUUUUUCCCAUAGGAAUGCAUGGGUUAGGGUUAGGGUCAGGGUUGGAGCUAGGGUUAGGGUUAGGGUUAGGGUUGGAGUUAGGGUUAGUGUUGGAGCUAGGGUUAGGGUUGGGCUUGGAGCUAGGAUUUUUCUGAUUGCAAUGAACCAACUCCCGAGUCUCUAGGACGUUCCUAAAAAAAUUUGAUUUUUUCCCAUAGGAAUGCAUGGGUUAGGGUUAGGGUUAGGGUUGGAGCUAGGGUUAGGGUUAGGUGUGGGGUUGAAGCUAGGGUUAGGGUUAGGGUUGGAGUUAGGGUUAGUGUUGGAGCUAGGGUUAGGGUUGGGCUUGGAGCUAGGAUUUUUCUGAGUGCAAUGAACCAACUCCUGAGUCUCUAGGACGUUCCUAAAAAAAUUUGAUUUUUUCCCAUAGGAAUGCAUGGGUUAGGGUUUGAGCUAGGGUUAGGGUUAGGUGUGGGGUUGAAGCUAGGGUUAGGGUUAGGGUUGGAGUUAGGGUUAGUGUUGGAGCUAGGGUUAGGGUUGGACUUGGAGCUAGGAUUUUUCUGAGUGCAAUGAACCAACUCCCGAGUCUCUAGGACGUUCCUAAAAAAAAUUGAUUUUUUCCCAUAGGAAUGCAUGGGUUAGGGUUAGGGUCAGGGUUGGAGCUAGGGUUAGGGUUAGGGUUAGGGUUGGAGUUAGGGUUAGUGUUGGAGCUAGGGUUAGGGUUGGGCUUGGAGCUAGGAUUUUUCUGAUUGCAAUGAACCAACUCCCGAGUCUCUAGGACGUUCCUAAAAAAAUUUGAUUUUUUCCCAUAGGAAUGCAUGGGUUAGGGUUAGGGUUAGGGUUGGAGCUAGGGUUAGGGUUAGGUGUGGGGUUGAAGCUAGGGUUAGGGUUAGGGUUGGAGUUAGGGUUAGUGUUGGAGCUAGGGUUAGGGUUGGGCUUGGAGCUAGGAUUUUUCCGAGUGCAAUGAACCAACUCCCGAGUCUCUAGGACGUUCCUAAAAAAAUUUGAUUUUUUCCCAUAGGAAUGCAUGGGUUAGGGUUUGAGCUAGGGUUAGGGUUAGGUGUGGGGUUGAAGCUAGGGUUAGGGUUAGGGUUGGAGUUAGGGUUAGUGUUGGAGCUAGGGUUAGGGUUGGGCUUGGAGCUAGGAUUUUUCUGAGUGCAAUGAACCAACUCCCGAGUCUCUAGGACGUUCCUAAAAAAAUUUGAUUUUUUUCCAUAGGAAUGCAUGGGACAAAAAAUUUUCAAAGUGCCAACCCAAUUUUUCACCUUCCAGAAUUGUGUUAGGAGCACGUUUCAGGCCACGGGGAGUCUAUAGAACCUAAUUCUGGGGGAAGCUUUUUGAAAAGUUUACUUAGGGUUAGGGUUAGGGUUGGAGCUAGGGUUAGGGUUAGGGUUAGGGUUGGAGCUAGGGUUAGGGUUAGGGUUAAGGUUGGAGCUAGGGUUAGGGUUAGGGUUAGGGUUAGGGUUGGAGCUAGGGUUAGGGUUAGGGUUAGAGCUAGGGUUAGGGUUAGGGUUGGGGCUAGGGUUAGGGUUAAAGGAAGAAAACUAGUAUUCCACUUUUUAGUUACACCCUCUGGUGGCAAAGAUGAUUGCAAUGUGACAACUUACCCAUGUGACAACAAGCCCCGGUCUCCCCUACUUUAGCAGGCAGAAACCUCGAGCAGAACCAGACUCAUGUUAGACAGUCAUCUACUGAGGCCGAGCUGGGUUUAGAAAGAGACAGACAAACAGAGACAAACAAUAACAACAACAAAACAGUGGAGUGUUUUAUUUUGAAAGAAUGGACUUUAUUUUAAUUAUUCUAUUCUACUUUAUUUUACUUUACCGCUGCUACUGUUGAAUUUUCCUUGGGGGAUCAAUUAAGUUUUUCUACUUACUAUUUUAUUUUACUUUGUUUAGAAAAAUAUAUGGCAGAGCUGUUGCCCAGGUGCUAACUGUGUUCUGCCAUGUCAGUUUAUAUUGUUUUUCGAUUACUAACAGGGUUAGAUGUGGUAUGAGAAUAAGGUGAGCAUAGAGAUUUUGUACUUUUGAUUCAGUCUUUCAAGAUUUUAGAGGAAGUGUUUCAUGACAGACUGAUACCUCUUAACAAAUUCAGCACAGAGUGAGAAAAUAAAUCCAAACUCCCAUGCUCAAGCUGCUUUGAAGAUUGAUUAUAUCAGCGCUGCUGCAAUGAUUUAUGGGUGUGGAUGUUUAACAGCUCAGGUGUAUUGCUCUUUUAUCAACAGUAGGCACAUAACCAAGUUGGUCUCAAAGGGUCACUCUGAUUAGCUACCUUUUUUUAGUCAGAAAUGCAACAAAAAUGGUGGUUGGCAAAUUUUGUUGCUGAACUUGUAGGCUACAUUAUUGAGUGUGAUUUUUAUGCAGUGAGUAAACAUCAAUUUCUGGAGCUCUCUGCUGUGGUUCUCACAUUUUAUGUUAUUUCAUUUUUGUUACAAGGACAGUGUGUGACAAUAUCAAUCAUUGAUAAAAGAAAAAUGAAAAGAUGGUUGCACCAAAUUAAGCACAUUUCAAAACCAUAAAAUGAACUUUAAAAGACAACGUAUCCUAUUCAGAAUGAAAUUUAAAAAAGAGGACAGUUAAAGGAAAAUUAUUACUCUGAAUUCAAUGCUGGUAAUGCUUUAGCAUAGACAAAAUAUUAAUUAAAUUAGAGUUUUUAAUGUCAUGUUUUUGUUCAAGGACCUGAUGGUUUAAGCACCAAAUGUAUGAAGAAUACAGUCCUCGCUGUAGUAGUCACUUGUCUGACUCCCAGCUUCAACCUUUUGCUGUAUGUCUUCCUCUGCACUCUGCUCCCCGCAUUUCCUGACAAAUUAAGGUUUUAAUUAAGAUUAAAAGAUAAUAGCAAACUAAAAGCCAUCAGCCAGUCAGGCAAUAGUCAGUUAAACGUUUGAAUAAUUGGGUUGAUAACAAAAAUAUCCCACUCUAACCAUGAAGCAUCACCUAACAGUAGCAGAGCCUAACUCAGUCUAAAGGUCCUUACACACGCUGGGGCCGACACGAAUAUAGAACUCUAUACACACACACACCAAGCCCGAUGCAAUUUUGCGACUUUCCGGGGGGAAAAAGACGCAUCCUGGGGAAGACUUUUCCCGGGGAAAGUCCCGCCUCCUUUGCCUCUGAUUGGCUAGAAAAGCUGGAAACGUCAUCACACGCUCAAGCCAAACGGUCAGCACUGAUAGCCAAUCAGAGGCGAAGGAGGGCGGGACCUUCUUUUAUCAUGCUACAGCGUCGUGGGUGGAAGCGAGAAGACAAAAAUGGAGUCUACUUCAACUUCAAGUGAUGGGGAAUUGGUACUCCUUUUGCUUUCUCAAAAGAAAAAGAAACAGCACAUGGUUGCAUCCAAUAUUACAAAAAGAAGAGAACUUGGUGACCAUGUAGAUUCUCAUUCAUCAAGGUCAUGGUUUUCUUGAAGACUCCAAAACCAGACAACUGGACUGUGUAGAGUUGAGAAGACGUUUCGACUGGGAGGAGUUGGAAAGAAUGUCGUUGUCAUUGUCUGUCCCCUUCUCCAGUAAGAUAAAUAUCUGCUUCUCACACUAACAAUAAUUAGAACUGAAGAAGCUUCUUGGAUAAGAGGCGAAACAUCUUCUCAACUCUACACAGUCCAGUUGCCUGGUUUUGGAGUCUUCAAGAGAACUUGGUGAGUUUCACUGCUUGGUUCAGGAGCUGAAACUGUACCACGGUCACUUCAGAACCUAUUUUCAGAUGUCCAUUGGACAAGUUCUGCUGAAACAAUUUGCUCCAAGUUUGAAGAGGCAGAGGACUAGACACUAGUGUUGAGAUGGCUUUCUGUCAUGAUAGCAUGUACUGAGUCGGGGCCAGUACCAGAUAAGCACAUAAAACUAUGGUAACAACCGUUAGCUUAUGUUAGCACAGAUGAAAGUUAAAACAAAGACAUUUAGCAAACUGUUAAAGCACACAAAACAUCAUCAUAUCAGAAAUGACUCUCCACAAGUUGUCCUUCAGGUCGUUAUCUUUGUAAUAAACGAUCAUAAACAAUCAUCCAGACGGCCAUGUUGGAUAUACCGGUGAAUCUGACUUCUCAACAACACAAAAUCUGAUUGAACAAGUGGACACACAGUAUGCGAAACUCUGGAAAAAUCGACCUUGAUCCGAAAAAAUAAAUGCUGCAAUACUACAGGACGGGAAAAUGUCGCUGAUGUGAUCGCUUGUAUUGACAGGAUACGGGUUUGAAAAAAAAAUAUUGACGUGCAAAAUAAUCGCACGACAGAAACGGUCCCGGUGUGAAAGGACCUUAAGGUGGGUCAUUGGACUAACACUGCGCCCAGCUGUGAUCACAGGCAACUACAUUUAACCUCCAGCUCUUUAUUGGCCAAUUAAUUCACAUGAUUUGUGGUGUGCAGAAUUCAACAAAUGUCAAAAAAGAAUACUUGAUUUGCUGGGACGGUGAUUUCAAUCUGUUUUUGUGUCAGAAUGUUUAAAACUCUCUCGUUUCAGACCACCAGAGCACCAAAAGACUUGAUUAAAAUUUCUGUGUAUUUUUGGUAAAUGAGGCUGAAUAACAACACCUACACUCCCAACCCAGGGAACUGCAGCAUCAGUGUUUUUGUUAUCUGCUGUAACUGUGUUGAUGUAUGAAUGAUGAAACCAGGGACCAAGUACAUGGACAACAGCAGCCUUGUAUGCCCCUGGACAACAGAGUCAACAUGUUUUGAAUUGUAACUAUGUCAGCAUCAUGUGAGGUUCACUGAGUACAAGCCAGCAUGAAAAACACGCUGCACCCUGGAGCUCAAGUGAACAAAGCUGCUAUGGAGAAUCAAGGCAAAGCUAGCCUAAUAAGACUGACUUUUAGCUGCUAAAAUGUCACCGCGUGCACUGACUUGGAAUUUAUUCAGACCCCAAACUAAAAUUAGAUUUUUUUUUUCGCCUCGGCAUAUUGAGGAAGGCUUAAGUACAUCUGAAGGUAUUUCUCCAAGGCUGUAAUAAUAAGGUUAGGGCCUAGUGGAGCACUUUUUAAUUACUUAGUCAUGGCCGGAGUCCUGCAGGAGGCCUUUUACCUUGCCCCUAAUAUUCCCUGCAGUUGCAUCAAGGUCAAACUUGAAGAAAUUAACAGACUUAAAACAGCAAAAUCAAAUAGUCCCUACAGGUUCCUCUCUUAAUUAGCGAAGUUUUACCUAAUGUGUUUAACUUUGCAACAGUUGCUGAGGACAAAGAGUUGGGGUAAACAAGAUAGAUAUAUAUAAAUAUGACACUGACUAAUCCUCCAUACCUCAAACUCACUGAAACAGCGUGUUGCUGCUUCCUCAUGAGCCCGAUAUUGUUGCUUAACGUCAUGGUAACAACCUUGACGUGUGGGUUGACACAGAUCCCCCCCCCCCCCCCCCGACUUUCAUGAUAUAAGAGCACACGCAGACAAGAGGUUUGAAAAGUGUGCUACCAUUGAGCACCCUUGAAAGGAAGCCUCUUUUCAUUUAGUGGUCUACUGAAGAUGAUUUGCAUUCACGGGUUUUAAUUGUGCCGUGUGAUGUUCAACAGGCUAAGCUGCUCUAGAAAGCUCAUUCCUCUCAUCUGCAUCAGUGAUUGAUAGAGCGUGAUUUUCCCUUGAACUUUCAAGGGAGUUCAGAGCGCCGAGGGCGGGGGUGAUGGCGAAGAUGGGGGAGGGAAUGACAGGAAGCAUGUGGGCUCAAGGAGAACCAGCUCUUUAGUUAGUCCAUAUUCAUAGAUAAUCAAACAAUCAGCUUGAGAAGCUUUUUGAAAAGGCUUGAUUGUAGAUCUCUACGAGAGUAAAUAGUCAUCCAGUAAUCUUCAAAAUGGAGCUUUUAGCUAUCCAUCCAUGACUGAAAAACCAGAUAAAUUACCAUUAAAUUUCUAGUGAAACCUCUCUUUGAAAGCUUCUUGCAUAAUGUGACAUAUUUUCAGUAUUGUUAAGAAAAGAGGCAAUUUUAUAAAGCCUGUCUGCUAAUCUCUAUUUGCAGGCCUCUGCCUACAGAUUCAACAUUCUUAUGUCGCAUAUGUAGGCAGAGGGCUGGAUUCUCAGAAUGAGAGGUGUUCAGGUUUACGUUUUUUAGUACAUUCAAGCUACUACGUUAAAUCAGCUGUGUAUGUCUGGACAGCAAAAGCAGCCAGCACCACUUUUAGCUUCUGUUGAUAGAAAUCCAAUGGCAAACUAUCCCAGAUUCAACUUUUUAACUUAAGCAACUAAUUUGCUGGAUACUGUCACAAAACUGGAUGGCACAGUGGUUAGCACUGUCGACUCACAGGAAGAAGGUCCUGGGUACGAGUCUGGGCGAUUCUGUGUGGAGUUUGCAUGUUCUCCUUGUGUCUGUGUAGGUUAACUCUGUUUCCUCCAACAUCCCAAAAACAUGCAGAAGUGGGGUUAAUUGGCCACUUUCAAAUUGCCAGUAGAGGUGAAUGUGGAUGGUUGUUUGUCCCUAUAUGUCAGCCCCACGGUCCCCAACAGGAUAAGUGGUAGAAAAUGGAUGGCACAAAACCCUCUCAGUGUUUUUUUCCUGACUCCCCUAGAUGCACCAAUGAUCUGUCUGAUCUUCAUUCAACAGUUAUUAAUUUCAAAAUGUUUUUUCUUCUUGCAUUUCUAUUUUUUUUGCAGAUCAUCACUAUAAUGUUGUUAUUUCAGAAAACUUCAUAUCUCUUAUUUGCGAGUAAGUCAGAAGAAAAUGAGUUUCUUUUCCAGGUUUAUUCUGCAGUAGGAAGCAAUAGCAAAGCCUCUCUGUGACAAACUGUUUACAGUAAAAAAAAGUCUCACUGGAAACAGAUAAGCAGGUGCUACUCUAAGAGAUGGAAAGACCUAAAAAUAUGAAAGGUAUAUAUCAGCGUCAAAGAGCGGCUGUCUCCUAAAAAUGGCUUUUUUUUUAACCCUCCCUGUGCUUCUGUGGCUCAUGGUAAUUCAUAACCCUACACAGUUUCUGCAGUGACAGCUGAGGGUGGAGCAGUUUUCUCAAACUACACUACAGGCCAAAAGUUUGGAAGCAAGAUCAGAUUUGUACAAAAAAUAUCAUAGUUUUCAUAUAUAUAAUUUGCAACACAAUAAACAUGACUAUUGUGUAAAGAGUAACUUAUCAGAGGACAUUUUGACUAUAAUUAUUAGGUAUUUGAGUUAUUGUUGCUUAGACUUUGCUUUCUUUAAAGUAACCUCCUCUGUCUUUAACAACAGCUUAGCAUAUACCAGGCAUUCGUUCCACAAGUUUUUAAGGUAUGUUCCAGGGAUUGCAUUCCAAGCUUUCUUAAGUUCAUUAAAAAGAGACUGUUGAUUCAUGGGACGCGUUUUUCUGACCAAUAGAUCCAAUUCAUCCCGCACAAGCUCAAUUGGAGAGAGGUCUGGAGACUGAGGGGGCCAAACCAUCUUUUGAAGAACACCUUCCUCUUCUUUUUUGUCUAGGUAACCCUGACAGAGCUUGGCAGAGUGCUUAGGGUCAUUGUCUUGCUGCAAAACAAACUUAUGAGCCACAAGUCUGAGUCCAGAUGGAGCAGCAUGGUGCUGGAGGAUGGAGUGGUACUGUUCCUUCUUCAUGAUACCCUUUACGUCAAACAAAUCUUCUACUCCAUCACCUGCAAAACAUCCCCAUACCACGGAACUACCACCUCCUUGCUGAAUUGUGGGUGUAACACAUGGUGCUUUCAGACGUUUACCAGUUUGUCUGCGGACACAGACUCUGUGUGUUAAACCAAACAGUGCAAACUUGUUUCUAGUCAUCAUGAGUCCAAUUU